AAGGAGUUAGUUUAAACAAAAUAAUAGAUUGUCAAUCUGUAGAUAUUAAAUAUAAUGCCCCUUG
rnacentral:tRNA from 1 species